rnacentral:rRNA from 1 species
AUUGAACGCUGGCGGCAUGCUUUACACAUGCAAGUCGAACGGCAGCGCGGGCUUCGGCCUGGCGGCGCGUGGCGAACGGGCGAGUAAUGCAUCGGAACGUGCCCAGUAGUGGGGGAUAGCCCGGCGAAAGCCGGAUUAAUACCGCAUACGACCUGAGGGUGAAAGCGGGGGACCGACAGGCCUCGCGCUAUUGGAGCGGCCGAUGUCGGAUUAGCUAGUUGGUGGGGUAAAGGCUUACCAAGGCGACGAUCCGUAGCUGGUCUGAGAGGACGACCAGCCACACUGGGACUGAGACACGGCCCAGACUCCUACGGGAGGCAGCAGUGGGGAAUUUUGGACAAUGGGGGCAACCCUGAUCCAGCCAUGCCGCGUGCGGGAAGAAGGCCUUCGGGUUGUAAACCGCUUUUGUUCGGGAAGAAAUCCUCUGGGCUAAUACCCCGGGGGGAUGACGGUACCGGAAGAAUAAGCACCGGCUAACUACGUG